AUGGCAAAGUAUUGGUGGGUUAGUUCCCUUGACAAGUGGGCUUUGCAUUGGCUGGCCUGGGACAAGCUUGCAACACCAAAAGUGAAGGGCGGGAUGGGGUUCCGUGACUUACACAAUUUUAACCUGGCUUUACUUGGGAAACACGAAUGGAGGUUUAUCACAAACCCGAACUCCUUAUGUGCCAAGGUUAUGAAAGGAAAGUACUUCCCUGAUAUAGACUUUAUGAUUGCUAGUGUUCCUUCAUCGUCUUCAGCGAUUUGGAAAGCGAUUGUUGCAGACACGGAAGCACUUGAAUCCGGGCUGAUUCACCAGGCUGGAAACGUAUCCACCAUCUCUAUUUGGGAUGAUAAAUGGAUUCAUGAUACUAUUUCCUUGUUACCAAUGCUCAAGCCACAAAAUACUAUGCUGUAG
rnacentral:rRNA from 1 species